GAUGAACGCUGUCGGCGUGCCUAAUACAUGCAAGUCGAGCGAACAGACGAGGAGCUUGCUCCUUUGACGUUAGCGGCGGACGGGUGAGUAACACGUGGGUAACCUACCUAUAAGACUGGGAUAACUUCGGGAAACCGGAGCUAAUACCGGAUAAUAUUUCGAACCGCAUGGUUCGAUAGUGAAAGAUGGCUUUGCUAUCACUUAUAGAUGGACCUGCGCCGUAUUAGCUAGUUGGUAAGGUAACGGCUUACCAAGGCAACGAUACGUAGCCGACCUGAGAGGGUGAUCGGCCACACUGGAACUGAGACACGGUCCAGACUCCUACGGGAGGCAGCAGUAGGGAAUCUUCCGCAAUGGGCGAAAGCCUGACGGAGCAACGCCGCGUGAGUGAUGAAGGUCUUCGGAUCGUAAAACUCUGUUAUUAGGGAAGAACAAACGUGUAAGUAACUGUGCACGUCUUGACGGUACCUAAUCAGAAAGCCACGGCUAACUACGUGCCAGCAGCCGCGGUAAUACGUAGGUGGCAAGCGUUAUCCGGAAUUAUUGGGCGUAAAGCGCGCGUAGGCGGUUUUUUAAGUCUGAUGUGAAAGCCCACGGCUCAACCGUGGAGGGUCAUUGGAAACUGGAAAACUUGAGUGCAGAAGAGGAAAGUGGAAUUCCAUGUGUAGCGGUGAAAUGCGCAGAGAUAUGGAGGAACACCAGUGGCGAAGGCGACUUUCUGGUCUGUAACUGACGCUGAUGUGCGAAAGCGUGGGGAUCAAACAGGAUUAGAUACCCUGGUAGUCCACGCCGUAAACGAUGAGUGCUAAGUGUUAGGGGGUUUCCGCCCCUUAGUGCUGCAGCUAACGCAUUAAGCACUCCGCCUGGGGAGUACGACCGCAAGGUUGAAACUCAAAGGAAUUGACGGGGACCCGCACAAGCGGUGGAGCAUGUGGUUUAAUUCGAAGCAACGCGAAGAACCUUACCAAAUCUUGACAUCCUUUGACCCUUCUAGAGAUAGAAGUUUCCCCUUCGGGGGACAAAGUGACAGGUGGUGCAUGGUUGUCGUCAGCUCGUGUCGUGAGAUGUUGGGUUAAGUCCCGCAACGAGCGCAACCCUUAAGCUUAGUUGCCAUCAUUAAGUUGGGCACUCUAAGUUGACUGCCGGUGACAAACCGGAGGAAGGUAGGGAUGACGUCAAAUCAUCAUGCCCCUUAUGAUUUGGGCUACACACGUGCUACAAUGGACAAUACAAAGGGCAGCGAAACCGCGAGGCCAAGCAAAUCCCAUAAAGUUGUUCUCAGUUCGGAUUGUAGUCUGCAACUCGACUACAUGAAGCUGGAAUCGCUAGUAAUCGUAGAUCAGCAUGCUACGGUGAAUACGUUCCCGGGUCU
rnacentral:rRNA from 1 species